UACGUAGGGGGCAAGCGUUAUCCGGAAUUACUGGGUGUAAAGGGAGCGUAGACGGUAAUGUAAGUCUGGAGUGAAAGGCGGGGGCCCAACCCCCGGACUGCUCUGGAAACUAUGUUACUAGAGUGCAGGAGAGGUAAGCGGAAUUCCUAGUGUAGCGGUGAAAUGCGUAGAUGUUAGGGGGAACACCAGUGGCGAAGGCGGCUUACUGGACUGUAACUGACGUUGAGGCUCGAAAGCGUGGGGAGCAAACAGG
rnacentral:rRNA from 1 species